UACGAAGGGGGCUAGCGUUGCUCGGAAUUACUGGGCGUAAAGGGCGCGUAGGCGGCACUGUUAGUCAGGCGUGAAAGUCCUGGGCUCAACCUGGGAACUGCGCUUGAUACGGCAGAGCUAGAGGAUGGAAGAGGGUCGCGGAAUUCCCAGUGUAGAGGUGAAAUUCGUAGAUAUUGGGAAGAACACCGGUGGCGAAGGCGGCGACCUGGUCCAUUACUGACGCUGAGGCGCGACAGUGUGGGGAGCAAACAGG
rnacentral:rRNA from 1 species